rnacentral:tRNA from 1 species
GCGGGAAUAGCUCAGUUGGUAGAGCACAACCUUGCCAAGGUUGGGGUCGCGGGUUCGAGUCCCGUUUCCCGCUCGA